CCAACGUGGACAACUGCUGGCAUGCCCCGGCGGCUUUGUCCGCAUGGCACCUGCAGAGCAGCCCAGCACACAGGUGUGGUGGUGAGGAAUUCUGGCCCAGGACGCUGGGGAUGAGCUGGUCCCCAGCCUCGGGACUGUUGCGGGCAUGUCCUGCGUAUUUCUCACCUUCUCAGUACCUGGUUGCUGAGGAGAAGAAACAUAACAUACGGGGCACAGUU
rnacentral:snoRNA from 1 species